rnacentral:lncRNA from 1 species
AAGCUAAGUGAAGAGGAGGAUAAAGAGCUCUUUGUUUAAUUGAGGCAGUUUGCAUAAAUACAUUAUAGUUCAUUUUUAAGCUAUACAUUACACAAAUAUGUCCAGGUCAUAUUGUAUAUGUAAUAUAAUGCAAAAAUAAAUGCAGAGCCAUUGUAUUUCAUGUCAAGAAUAUAUAUGAAUGCACUUUUGAUAACUUUGGAGACUGUUAUUCCAUGCAGACUUAUAAAAAAAUGAUGCACUAAAGUGCAUGAAAACGUCACAUCCUGUGAUGCUUACUUGAUGUUUAUUUCGAGCCAGAAACCAAAAAAAAAGGGAUCCUUAAAAAUCCAAUUUAAUCCUAACAUUAAAAAUACUAAAAUUGGCCACACACAUAAAUCUAAUCUCCAUAAAUGUUUUAGUGUUUAGUGAUAUUUUAAUUGUAAUUGAAUAAUGAUUAUUUCAAUCAUAGGUAGCAAUAAAUCAAAGCACAGCAAGAUUUUUAUAUAUUUGGUUUCUCAUGUUUGGUAUAUACCCACAUUUAAAAAAAUAAAAUAAAAUAACAUAAAAUAAAACAUCACCAUAUGCCCCAUCUCAGAUUCCAGAAUGAACUGGUUCAUGCGUCGAAAAGUUAAAAAAUAUAAAAUGCAAGAAGUAGUCUUAAAAUAUAGAAUUAAAAGUCUUAAACUAAAAAAAUCAUCCAGAUUUUGCCUCUUUAAUUAGAACGUUAUAUUCGACUUAAAUCGCCUAUAAAGCACAAGCAAAAGGCUUAUGUAUUGACCUGCUACUGUACAUGUCAUUGUUGUGACUCCAGAUUCUAACAGUCCAUAUUCUAACAAAGGCCUGCCGUCACUGGAAACAGGACAUAUGAUGCAGGACUGCGAGUUGAUGCAGGGAAAAACAUGGAUGGAUGUGCGCUCACACGCUCAGAUCCGGUAAACACCGGAGAAAUCCUGCCGUUUAGAGAUCGUUCUCGCGCGCACCGACGGUCGUGAUUGAUCAUUUAUUUAUUUUUUUGCCACAAAGACAUCGACUUCAUUAACCUUCAUAGCGAUCAAUAUUCAUCACCCCACCCUUCAGGUUCCCGCAUCAACAUCUCCCACCGACCGAACGACCGACCUACCAUUCCGUGCCAGCUGCCCGUCCGACGAUCCCGGUCCGGUGACAGUUCAGUCCUGUUCAAAACAUCCCGGUACGCGACGGAUUUAAAGACCACUGUGAGGACGAAUCAAGCAGAUAUAAAGAAAAAAAAAGGAUGCUGCGUGUACCAUUACGGAUCCUACCAGCGUACGGAUGGAGGAGGGUGGGGGUGUUGCGGGAGACUAGUUGCUGUAGAAACCGAAGGGCGCACACGAUGACGUCAAAGCCGAGAACGGUCUAAUAGGAGUGAGGAGAUGGAGAGGAGCGGCGCUCCGAGCACGCAUCUGUAGAUUGGUGGGCUUUGGCGCACAUGACCGCCGACUGCGUGUUCGGAGGCGGGCAGAGAGAAAGCAGCCAGCAUCACAGGGCAUUCGAUUCAUUCCGUUUCGGUUUGAUGAAUCAAUUCAAAAUAAUCGAUUCACUGAUUCUUUCGAGUCCUUUGUCAAAGGUUAGCCCCAAACCUAGGUCUUUCAACGGCAACAUGAGGUAGCCUAAUUAAUAUAGUAGUAGUAGUAAUAAUAAUAAUAAUAAUAAUAAUAAUAAUAAUAAUAAUAAACAACAUUAAGCGCUUCUUAAACAAGCAAAGACAAGGAAAUCAACUUGAAUUAAUUAAUACGUUCUUUAAAUAAAUAAAUAACUCCGUCAAAGACUAGCCUAUAUAGGCUAAUGCAAAGGGACUUUGAACUUUUUAUUAAUUUUCAUAAAUAAUGUUUUUUUAUUAUUGUGUUAUCAUGUUUUUAUUGUGUUUUAUUGUGUUUUUAGAUAUUAUUAUUUAAUCAAAACAACCCAGCUGCAGUUUAAUUGAUAUUAAUUGGAAUGCAGGAUAAAAAUAAAACAACAUGAUUUUUGAACGUUUUUAAAAACUAAGUAAUCUGUUUUUGCAAAUUAACUCUUCAUAUAUUUUAAAACGUAAUUUAUUCCAGUGAUGCAAAGCUGAAUUUUCAGCAUCAUUACUCCAGUCUUCAUUGUCACAUUAUCCUUCAGAAAUCAUUCUAAUAUGUUGAUUUGCUGCUCAAGAAACAUUUCUGAUUAUUAUCAAUGUACAAAACAGCUUUUCUGCUUAAUAUUUAUGUGAAAACUGUGAUACUUUUUUUCCAGGACCAUU